UACAGAGGGUGCAAGCGUUGUUCGGAAUUAUUGGGCGUAAAGCGCGUGUAGGCGGCUUUGCAAGUCGGGUGUGAAAGCCCUCAGCUUAACUGAGGAAGUGCGCCCGAAACUGCAGAGCUUGAGUACCGGAGAGGAUGGUGGAAUUCCCCAAGUAGAGGUGAAAUUCGUAGGUAUGGGGAGGAACACCGGUGGCGAAGGCGACCAUCUGGACGGAUACUGACGCUGAGACGCGAAAGCGUGGGGAGCAAACAGG
rnacentral:rRNA from 1 species